AAAGUCGUAACAAGGUAACCGUAGGUGAACCUGCGGUUGGAUCAUUAACAAAAUCCAAAACACGGCGCCCACGGUCGUGCGUGGGGUGUAAACCUCAUUGCGGCCUGUGGGUGCUGGGACCCACCUUAUGUGAAUUGUAUAAGCGUUUUUGGCGACUUACGAGAUUGAAUGGUUUAAACAAGCCAGCAACUCUCUCAGGGUCCUCAUACCUCUGCAUGAGGUAGGAGCCCUGGGUCGCCGCGUGGAGCCCCCUUCCGCAUUGGAGGGUGCGCUCGACAAAAACCAUUUAAACUCAACCUUUUGUCUGAUUUUUACAGUAAUUCUUAAUUUUUUUGAGAAUUAUAAUAACCAAAAUAACUUUUGACAACGGAUCUCUUGGCUCUC
rnacentral:misc_RNA from 1 species